rnacentral:rRNA from 1 species
UAGGAAUAUUGGACAAUGGGCGAAAGCCUGAUCCAGCCAUGCCGCGUGAACGAUGAAGGCCUUAGGGUUGUAAAGUUCUUUUAGGGGGGAAGAUAAUGACGGUAGCCCCAGAAAAAGCUCCGGCUAACUCCGUGCCAGCAGCCGCGGUAAUACGGAGGGAGCGAGCGUUGUUCGGAAUCACUGGGCGUAAAGGGUGCGUAGGCGGUUGUGUUAGUCAGAAGUGAAAGCCCCGGGCUUAACCCGGGAACUGCUUUUGAUACUGCAUAGCUAGAGUAUGGGAGAGGUUGGCGGAAUUCCGAGUGUAGAGGUGAAAUUCGUAGAUAUUCGGAAGAACACCAGUGGCGUAGGCGGCCAACUGGACCAUUACUGACGCUGAGGCACGAAAGCGUGGGGAGCAAAC